rnacentral:lncRNA from 1 species
AGGUCAGUUGAGGGUACUCUGCAAGAAGUGUGUACAGUUAAUUAAAAGAAAAUCCUCUAGAGAGACUCUUCAUAAGCUCAAGGUUUCUAUGUUCAUCUCUUUCUGAAAGCUUUACUCAUUCAUGAUUCAGUAUUAUAGAUAUGUCCUGUGGACUUCUUUUUUAAAAGUUUUGCCUAACAAAACACCUGGAGGAGGGAACCUGUUUCAGAAUCACAUAACCUCAGCUUGAUAAGAAUCUCAAGAGAUCACACUGAGUGGCUUCCACUUAGAGAAGGUAACAAGACCACUUUACAGAGAAGACAACAAAGGUCCAAGAUAUUAUACAACUCGCUCAAGGCCACUACAUCAAGAUUAAGUUGGAUUUGCAAAGUGAGUUAGAUUUUGGAAAAAGCUAACCUUCAAUUGUUCUCCAGGGGAAUGAGUAAUUACUAUGAGGAGCUAGUAAUUUUUAGCUUGUCCUCAGGCCUACUGAAAUAUCUUUGCUCUUUCCCUGCAUCUGUAAGAGCAACUGUUGUUUUCAGUCAUUCAAGUAGAAAGUGUGCGUGUUCCAUGGAAAGCCCAAGGCUCUCAGGAACUGAAGCCCAAAGUGCUUAGUCAUCCAAGAUAUAUAUUACCUUACAGAGGAAGAAACUGGAACAUUUGUUCACACUGCAGAAGAGCCCCUUUCUCUGCUGCCUUUGCUGCCAUCAACAGUAAACACUAGAAGUUUAGGAGCUGAAACCCCAUUGAUUGGCAGACUGCUCUGUCAAGACUAUGGAAUCAAUGGUAGUUUCUCAACAUGAGCUUUGGAGAAGAAGGGAAGACAACUUAUCUGAGGUUCUCUAUAUUCCAGGAAGCCUGAACCUCUGGGAUUGGAUCCCCAGAGGUGGGCCGAUGACAGCUGAAGAAGACUGUAUUUGCUGAGGAGCAGCAUGCUGGUCGAGAGGAGCAGAGCUCCUGAGGGAGACCUAAUGGUUCCUCUCCUUCCUGCACGGAGAUAAAGACUUAUAAUAAGCGUGUAUGUUCACCAUCUGGCUCUGCGCAUGUGGUCCUUAUGGAGGGGAGAGCAGCACAAUCUGUAAAUGAUCAGGAGCCAUGGC